UCCUCCCUGGAGCCAGGAGGCAGCUCAAGCCACAGCGGGGUGUUUAGCGCUCUUCAGUGGCUCCAGAUUGUGGCGCUGGUGCAGG
ensembl:miRNA